rnacentral:rRNA from 1 species
CUCAGAUUGAACGCUGGCGGCAGGCCUAACACAUGCAAGUCGAGCGGUUGAAGGAAGCUUGCUUCCUGAUUCAGCGGCGGACGGGUGAGUAAUGCCUAGGAAUCUGCCUGGUAGUGGGGGACAACGUUUCGAAAGGAACGCUAAUACCGCAUACGUCCUACGGGAGAAAGCAGGGGACCUUCGGGCCUUGCGCUAUCAGAUGAGCCUAGGUCGGAUUAGCUAGUUGGUGAGGUAAUGGCUCACCAAGGCGACGAUCCGUAACUGGUCUGAGAGGAUGAUCAGUCACACUGGAACUGAGACACGGUCCAGACUCCUACGGGAGGCAGCAGUGGGGAAUAUUGGACAAUGGGCGAAAGCCUGAUCCAGCCAUGCCGCGUGUGUGAAGAAGGUCUUCGGAUUGUAAAGCACUUUAAGNNNGAGGAAGGGCAGUCAGCGAAUACCUUGCUGUCUUGACGUUACCGACAGAAUAAGCACCGGCUAACUCUGUGCCAG